rnacentral:lncRNA from 1 species
UCCGAAGUCUAAAUUUGAGAUUAUUACAUUUUGACUUUUUUCUUUCGAGACAUCAGUGCACACAUGCUUGAAUUUGUUGGCAAGUGGAGAAAUGAGAGAUGUUUAGAAGGGUUUAUAGGAGAAUGAGAUAACUGUAUGGACAAGUCAUUCCUCAUAUAAUCCUCAAAGGAGAUGUGAUAUGAGAAUGCCAGGGUGAACACGAGAUACACAAAGGGUGCCCCAGCUUGAUGUUAUGGAAAAUGAGCUGGUGUUUGGAUCCAUGAAUGUUAGGGUGAGAAAAUUUCAAAUGAGAUUUGCAAAGCUGCCCCCAGUCUUGAGGUUAUGGAUUGAUGAAAAACUUGUGUGAGACUCACAAAGCCGCCCACUUUUUGUUUGCUUUUUAUUUGUUUAUUGUGGUAUGAGUUGAUGAAAAACUCGGGUGAGACUCACAAAGUUGUCCCGGUUUUUUCUUUGGCAAGGGUUCUGUUUGGAAUAGGUAUUGGACAUGAAAAGGAUCGGCUAAAAGGAUGGCCCCAAAUUAGUUUGAUUUUUCUUUUGCAUGCUUCUGGUUAGAUGGCCGGGUGAUCCCCUCUUCUCGAGACAUUACUUUUUCUUCUUCUUUUUUCUCUUUUUUUUUUUCUUCUCUUCUCUUUUUUUACGACACAUUGAAAAUCAUUUCCCCUUAUCGCAAAGUUAAGCUUUAUGAAAAUUUUAGAAAACAUUAUCCAAUCUGUGUGGACUUUAUUAGGCUUGUAACGUGGCUAGGGGCUAAAAGGUAUCAGAAGAAAAGGUAUAAAGGCCCAAAUGAAUGUUUGUUGGUUAUUAUUUUUUGAAACAAAGGUUAUCAUCUAGGCAUUGCAUCAACUAUUUGACUUUUUGAGCACUUUGCUUUUCUUGAACUUCGUUUUUCAUUCUUUUUGCUCAACAUCACUUUGUGAUUUUUUGUUGUUCUUUUUGUUUUUUCUUUUGUUUUUGUUUUUUUUUAUUCACUCUUCUUGAUGAAUUCUCUUUGUUUGAUCAUUGAGUGCUCUUCAUUUGCAACAUGAAUUGACUCCUACCUGAUGACAACCCUUGCUUGGGGAUGAUUUUGAAAAAGAAUUUAUUUUUGGCUCAAAUGGGGUGACAAUGGAUAUAUAUUUUUGGCUUUUUAGAUAAAGUCAAGAAGGCCACACAUUAUUUUGAACUCUGAUUGCUUUAUUUUCAAAAGACUAACUCUUCGACUAGGUGACCUCAACAUGAGUCGUUUUUUUUUAGAUUGCCCUUUCGGGUUUUCAAUCUAGAGGACUUAUUAAUACUUUUUUUUUGUCUCAA